GCAACACAGCGCAGUGGUAAGGAGCGCAAGGCACAUCACUGAGGUCGCGGGUUCGAUACCCGCGUCGCG